rnacentral:rRNA from 1 species
AACCUGGUUGAUCCUGCCAGUAGUCAUAUGCUUGUCUCAAAGACUAAGCCAUGCACGUCUAAGUACAAACUAAAUGAUGGUGAAACUGCAAAUGGCUCAUUGCAACGGUUAUGAUGUACCCGGGAGUUCCGAUGGAUAUUUCCAGUAACACUAGAACUAAUACAUGCUCCUGCGCUUAUUAGUUUCGCACAGUCCGUCGCUGAGUCAUGGUAAACAGUUGAUCGACUCGACGUCCCGGAACAGUUUCCGCCCCAUCAGCUUCGAUGGUUGGGUAUUGGCCUACCAUUGCAACAACGGGUAACGAGGAAUUAGGGUUUGAUUUCGGAGAGGGAGCCUGAGAAAACGGCUACCCCUCUACGGAUGGCAGC